rnacentral:rRNA from 1 species
GAUUAACGCUGGCGGCGUGCAUAACACAUGCAAGUCGAACGAUGAAACUUAAAUGAUUUCUUCGGAAUGAACUUAAGUGGAUUAGUGGCGGACGGGUGAGUAACGCGUGAGUAACCUGCCUUACACAAGGGGAUAGCCGUUGGAAACGACGAAUAAUACCCUAUGAAACUAUCACUUCGCAUGAAGCGAUAGUCAAAGUGUUAGCGGUGUAAGAUGGACUUGCGUCUGAUUAGCUAGUUGGUGAGAAAAAAGCCCACCAAGGCAACGAUCAGUAGCCGGCCUGAGAGAGUGUACGGCCACAUUGGGACUGAGACACGGCCCAGACUCCUACGGGAGGCAGCAGUGGGGAAUUUUGCACAAUGGGGGAAACCCUGAUGCAGCGACGCCGCGUGAUUUAGAAGGCCUUCGGGUUGUAAAAAUCUUUUGUAUAGGAAGAAAAUGACAGUACUAUACGAAUAAGGUCCGGCUAAUUACGUG